rnacentral:rRNA from 1 species
GGUGGCCUGGGAUUCAGAGACUUCUGCAUCUUCAACCAGGCCCUCCUCGCGAGACAGGCUUGGCGCUUGCUAACUAAGCCCAAUAGUUUAUGUGAGCAGGUGCUCAAGGCCCGUUAUUAUCCUGACGGACGACUUGAGGAUACGGUCUUCUCGGGGAACGCCUCGCCGACUUGGCAGGCUGUCCAAUACGGCCUCGAGCUCCUGAAAGGCAUCAUCUGGCGUGUCGGCGACGGGCAAAACAUCCGCAUAUGGCGCGACCGGUGGAUCCCGCGAGAGCCAUCCUGCCAACCCAUCACACAACAGGGUACCUGCCGCAUCAGAAGGGUGGCGGAGCUCCUAGAUGAGAGGGGCUCCUGGUGGAUGGGUCUCCUUCCGCGCUACUUCCUCCCGGCGAAUGUUGAUGCGAUUACUAGCAUCCGGACAUCACCACGCGUCACGGACGAUAUCAUCGCCUGGGCACCGGAGAAGAACGACAUCUUCACCGUUCGCUCCGCAUACCACCUUGCCAUGGACGAGCGCGAGCGUUCAUUGGCUACCGCCACGAGCAGGGCACCGGAUGGUCGUCGCGGCAUCUGGAAGAUCAUAUGGGGGUGCCCUGCUCCCCCUAAGGUACGCGUCUUCGCAUGGAGAGUUGUGACUAAUUCACUUGCUACAUGGGCCAACAAAUUUUCACGCCACCUCGAGCUUACUGACUUAUGUCCCCUCUGUGGCAUGGAACGAGAGGACGGAUUCCACGCAUUCUGCAGGUGCCCACUAGCUAGCGAGCUAUGGCGUGCCAUGGCGGUGGACUGGAACAUCCCCAAGCUGGAGUCCAUCAGUAACCCCGGACCGGAGUGGCUCUUCACACUGUUGGAACCCCUAGAUGACACGGCGAGGAUGGUGGUGCUUAUGACCAUGUGGCGGAGUUGGCAUGUGCGCAACGAGAUUACACAUGACAAAAUGCCUCCUCCGACUGAAGCCUCCCGACGCUUCCCCCACGGGUAUAUUACUUCGCUCCUGUGUAUUAAUCAACACCCUUCGGGAGACCAUGUGAGGUGGUCGUUGCUUCACCACUAG